rnacentral:rRNA from 1 species
CCUACGGGUGGCUGCAGUGAGGAAUAUUGCACAAUGGGCGCAAGCCUGAUGCAGCGACGCCGCGUGGGUGAAGAAGGUUUUCGGAUCGUAAAACCCUUUUCUGUGUGACGAGCAAGGACGGUAGCACAGGAAUAAGUCUCGGCUAACUACGUGCCAGCAGCCGCGGUAAAACGUAGGAGACAAACGUUAUCCGGAGUUACUGGGCGUAAAGGGCGUGUAGGUGGUUAUGUAAGUCUGGCGUGAAAUUUUUCGGCUUAACCGGGAAAGGUCGUCGGAUACUGCAGGACUCGAGGACGGUAGAGGCGUGUGGAAUUCCGGGUGUAGUGGUGAAAUGCGUAGAGAUCCGGAGGAACACCAGUGGCGAAGGCGACACGCUGGGCCGUACCUGACACUGAUGCGCGACAGCAUGGGGAGCAAACAGGAUUAGAUACCCUAGUAGUC